rnacentral:rRNA from 1 species
UACAGAGGGUGCGAGCGUUGUCCGGAAUCACUGGGCGUAAAGGGCGCGUAGGCGGUUUCUUCAGCGGGUGGUGAAAGCUUGGGGCUCAACCCCGAGUCGGCCAUGCGAACUGGGAGACUGGAGCAUGUCAGAGGCAGGCGGAAUUCCGGGUGUAGCGGUGGAAUGCGUAGAUAUCUGGAGGAACACCGGUGGCGAAGGCGGCGUUCUGGACUGUCUCUGACACUGAAGAACGAAAGCCAGGGGAGCAAACGGG